UACGUAGGUGGCAAGCGUUGUCCGGAUUUAUUGGGUUUAAAGGGCGCGUAGGCGGCCUCGCAAGUCCCGUGUGAAAUCCCUCGGCUCAACUGAGGAUCGUCGAUCGAUACUGCCGUUCUUGAGGAUUGCAGAGGAGACUGGAAUUCCCGGUGUAGCGGUGAAAUGCGUAGAUAUCGGAAGGAACAUCAGUGGCGAAAGCGACUUCCUGGACCAGUACCGACGUUCAGGCACGAAAGCGUGGGGAGCAAACAGG
rnacentral:rRNA from 1 species